UCGUCCAGGGGGCCGCCUUCGCCACCGGUAUUCCUCCAGAUCUCUACGCAUUUCACCGCUACACCUGGAAUUCUACCCCCCUCUACGAGACUCAAGCUUGCCAGUAUCAGAUGCAGUUCCCAGGUUGAGCCCGGGGAUUUCACAUCUGACUUAACAAACCGCCUGCGUGCGCUUUACGCCCAGUAAUUCCGAUUAACGCUUGCACCCUCCGUAUUACCGCGGCUGCUGGCACGGAGUUAGCCGGUGCUUCUUCUGCGGGUAACGUCAAUGAGCAAAGGUAUUAACUUUACUCCCUUCCUCCCCGCUGAAAGUACUUUACAACCCGAAGGCCUUCUUCAUACACGCGGCAUGGCUGCAUCAGGCUUGCGCCCAUUGUGCAAUAUUCCCCACUGCUGCCUCCCGUAGGAGUCUGGACCGUGUCUCAGUUCCAGUGUGGCUGGUCAUCCUCUCAGACCAGCUAGGGAUCGUCGCCUNGGUGAGCCGUUACCCCACCUACUAGCUAAUCCCAUCUGGGCACAUCCGAUGGCAAGAGGCCCGAAGGUCCCCCUCUUUGGUCUUGCGACGUUAUGCGGUAUUAGCUACCGUUUCCAGUAGUUAUCCCCCUCCAUCAGGCAGUUUCCCAGACAUUACUCACCCGUCCGCCACUCGUCAGCAAAGAAGCAAGCUUCUUCCUGUUACCGUUCGACUUGCAUGUGUUAG
rnacentral:rRNA from 1 species